rnacentral:tRNA from 1 species
UCUCUGGCAGUCCAGUGGUUAGGACUUGGUGCUUUCACUGCCAAGGGCCUGAGUUCAAUCCCUGGUCAGGGAA